GACAGGUUGUAGCUGGCUUCAAACGAAGCAUGUGCACGCCUGGCUCAUCCACUCUUCAACCUCUGUGCACUUAUUGUAGAUCGGUGUAAAGGUUAGUUGUAACAGACUAACUGUAAAGCCUUUCUACGUUUUACUACAAACGCUUCAGUUAUAGAAUGUUAAUUACUGCGUAUAACGCAUCUUUAUACAACUUUCAGCAACGGAUCUCUUGGCUCUCGCAUCGAUGAAGAACGCAGCGAAAUGCGAUAAGUAAUGUGAAUUGCAGAAUUCAGUGAAUCAUCGAAUCUUUGAACGCACCUUGCGCUCCCUGGUAUUCCGGGGAGCAUGCCUGUUUGAGUGUCAUGGAAUUCUCAACCCUCAAUACUUUUUUGUAUUGAAGGCUUGGACUUGGAGGCUUUUGUGCUGGCUGCUCGUUCAGUCGGCUCCUCUGAAAUGCAUUAGCGUGAAUACUAUGGAUCGCUUCAGUGUGAUAAUUAUCUGCGCUGUGGUCGUGAAGUAUAUUACGUUUACGCUUCUAAUCGUCCUUCACUGGACAAUUAUAAACCCUGACUUCCGACCUCAAAUCAGGUAGGACUACCCGCUGAACUUAAGCAUAUCAAUAAGCGGAGGAA
rnacentral:rRNA from 1 species